AUUGAACGCUGGCGGCAGGCCUAACACAUGCAAGUCGAACGAGUGGCGGACGGGUGAGUAAUGUCUGGGAAACUGCCCGAUGGAGGGGGCUAACUACUGGAAACGGUAGCUAAUACCGCAUACCAUCGGAUGUGCCCAGAGUGGAUGUGCUAGUAGGUGUGGUGACGGCUUACCUAGGCGACGAUCCCUAGCUGGUCUGAGAGGAUGACCGGCCAAACUGGAACUGAGACACGGUCCAGAUGCCUAGGGGAGGCAGCGGUGGGGAAGAUGGCACAAUGGGCGAAAGCGUGAUGCAGCCAUGCCGCGUGUAUGAAGAGGGCCUUCGGGUUGUAAAGUUCUUUCAGCGAGGAGGCGUUACUCGCAGAAGAAGCACCGGCUAACUCCGUGCCAGCAGCCGCGGUAAUAC
rnacentral:rRNA from 1 species